rnacentral:pre_miRNA from 1 species
UCCAACUUUGACUGUCUGUUUUAUAUGAUUUUUUUUGUAAUUUGUAUUUUUAUUGUUAUUAGAUGAUAAAACAUGAUUAAUAUUUUAUGCGUGACUUGUUUUUUUAAUUUUUUUCAUAAUUUUUUUAAAUAAGACGGACGGUCAAAUGUUGGACAUGAAAAC